GAUUUCUGGUUUGGUGUGCCUAGCCCGCCGCGGUUACGCGUGUGAGUGCCGGGUCGCGCCUGCCAUCCUUCUAGAGAACGUUUCUACCCUUCAUUGGGCCGGAAACGCAAUCUAGAUCUUUUACUUUGAAAAAAUUAGAGUGUUUAAAGCAGGCUUUUGCUAUGAAUACAUUAGCAUGGAAUAAUAAUCUAGGACUUCGGUUCUAUUUUGUUGGUUUCUAUAACUGAAGUAAUGAUUGAUAGGGAUAGUUGGGGGUGCUAGUAUUGGCCGGCCAGAGGUGAAAUUCUUGGAUUCGGUCAAGACUAACUUAUGCGAAAGCAUU
rnacentral:rRNA from 1 species